AUGGACCUUCAGAUAUCUGAUUGAGAUUUCUUUUACUAGCAAGUUAGUUUAGGCAAAGGUUAUCCAAUUGUUUUGAAAACACACUGUAUUGUUUUCUAAAGUAUUAGCUAGGCCUGGUUUAUUAUAACUCGCCGUGUGCUUCACAUUAUAAACCCUACUCACUCUCUCAUCAUGGACGAGGAAUAUUACGAGAGGAAUAUUGGAGACUGGGAUGGUCCGGAUGGCAAUCAGGACGACUAUGUUGAAGGGGAGAAUGAUGGGAAAGUUCAGGAGGACUGCCUACAGAAGUUCUCCAGCAGAGAUUACAUCAUGGAGCCUGCUGUAUUCAACACCCUUAAAACGUAAACACACUAUCGCGUGUGCCUGCCUAGUAACGUUAGUGUGUGAAGAGUUAAACCAUUUCCUGCAGAGGCUUCUGAGAUAUUUUCAGGCUGGUGGCUCCCCUGAACGCGUCAUCCAGCUCCUGUCAGAGAACUACUCCGCUGUGGCCCAGACUGUCAACCUGCUGGCAGAGUGGCUCUUCCAGAUGGGUGUAGAUCCAGCUCAGGUGCAGGAACGGGUAGAGAAUCACUUGAAGAGUCUGCUGACCAAGCACUUUGACCCCCAGAAGGCUGACUCCAUCUUUACCGUGGAGGGAGAGGUGUAGGAUUUGAUUGCCUCACCAUACACUUCGGACUUUGUCCAGCUGUUCCUGCCCAUCCUGGAGAACGACAGCGUCGCUGGAACCAUUCGGACAGAAGGAGAACAUGACCCUGUUGCGGAGUUUAUAGCCCACUGAAAAUCCAACUUCAUCAUGAUGAACUGAGAAUGACAAUGGUUUGGUUUAACUUGACUGAGGAUGUAGCGGGAAGACCAGGACCUUUUGGUUAUGAGCCAAUCCCUGGAUGUGUUCUGCUGAACGAGGACUGGAACAUUGCCGAUUUUGAGGCUGACCACUUGGGUGUAAACUUUCACCUGCAACUUUUUAUUUUCAAAUGUGGUGUAAACACAUGACUCAGAAUUAGGAUGUUUAUUAUUGCGUCUCUGGAGGUAUGUGGAGAACUCGUGCAUCUCCAUUCAUUUCACUGUAGUUUCCAUUAGUAUGAGCUAAAGUUUAGGUCUGUUAAUAUGUAUGUAUGACUGACUGUUAACUA